GUAUCUGCCUUAGUAACACACACUAAAAUCAGAAUGAUACAGAGAUAAGCAUGCCCACUCAACAAGGAUGAGAUGCAAAUUCAUGAAGCAUUCCAUAUAUUA
ensembl:snRNA U6 U6 spliceosomal RNA